rnacentral:rRNA from 1 species
GAAACGACUGCUAAUACCGCAUGACGCAUAGAGGUCGCAUGAUCUUUAUGCCAAAGAUUUAUCGCUUCAAGAUGGCCUCGCGUCUGAUUAGCUGGUUGGCGGGGUAACGGCCCACCAAGGCGACGAUCAGUAGCCGGACUGAGAGGUUGAACGGCCACAUUGGGACUGAGAUACGGCCCAGACUCCUACGGGAGGCAGCAGUGGGGAAUAUUGGGCAAUGGGCGCAAGCCUGACCCAGCAACGCCGCGUGAAGGAAGAAGGCUUUCGGGUUGUAAACUUCUUUUAAGAGGGAAGAGCAGAAGACGGUACCUCUAGAAUAAGCCACGGCUAACUACGUGCCAGCAGCCGCGGUAAUACGUAGGUGGCAAGCGUUGUCCGGAUUUACUGGGUGUAAAGGGCGUGCAGCCGGGUCUGCAAGUCAGAUGUGAAAUCCAUGGGCUCAACCCAUGAACUGCAUUUGAAACUGUGGAUCUUGAGUGUCGGAGGGGCAAUCGGAAUUCCUAGUGUAGCGGUGAAAUGCGUAGAUAUUAGGAGGAACACCAGUGGCGAAGGCGGAUUGCUGGACGAUAACUGACGGUGAGGCGCGAAAGUGUGGGGAGCAAACAGGAUUAGAUACCCUGGUAGUCCACACUGUAAACGAUGAAUACUAGGUGUGCGGGGACUGACCCCCUGCGUGCCGCAGUAAACACAAUAAGUAUUCCACCUGGGGAGUA